rnacentral:rRNA from 2 species
CAUAUCAAUAAGCGGAGG